rnacentral:rRNA from 1 species
UACGUAGGUGACCAGCGUUGUCCGGGAUUUACUGGGCGUAAAGAGCGCGCAGGCGGUCGUUCAAGUCGAGUGUGAAAGCCCCCGGCUCAACUGGGGAGGGUCAUUCGAUACUGAUCGACUUGAAGGCAGGAGAGGGAAGUGGAAUUCCCGGUGUAGUGGUGAAAUGCGUAGAUAUCGGGAGGAACACCAGUGGCGAAGGCGACUUCCUGGCCUGUUCUUGACGCUGAGGCGCGAAAAGCUAGGGGAGCAAACGGG